rnacentral:lncRNA from 1 species
GAUGCCGGAAUUAGACCCGAUGCGGCACCUCUCUUGCCAGCCUGUAAAUAGGACCCCACGAGCCUUGCUGAAGCCAUCACUUCUCGACCUCACCAAAGCCACGCUUAAGCCACCCGGUGGGCUUCGGGAAGGUCAUCUUCCCCGCCUCCGGCCGCCCGAUUUAGCUUCGGGUUUCGGUUAAAUUUGAGCAGGUGAAUGCAUCCCCGCUGCCCAAACUCAGCCAACAUGCUGCUAGAGAAACCGUCCUUCUAACCCGCGCUUCAGUUCGGAGUUUGGAGGCUUCUCCGACGAGAUCCACGUGCACCCAAAAACGUAGCUCGCCGGAGUUGGAUCUGCCGUUGACGAGGUGCUCUCCGGCGACUGCCUCCACCUCCAUCAGUUGCGGAAUCACCCAGUGAGUGCGCUCGUGUCCUUUCCCCCUCUGGUUUGCUGCAGGACGCGCCCCUGUCGCCGGCGAGGUGGUUUCAAACCUGAUAGUGGAGGCCCAGUGUGAGGAUUCUGUUUUUAUUGAAUCGUUUUUCUAAAGUGUAUUCCCCCUGAAUAUGCUUUCCCCUCUGGCUCACGUAGUUUCAUCAGGGAGCUUUCUGUUUU